rnacentral:rRNA from 1 species
ACUCCUACGGGAGGCAGCAGUGGGGAAUAUUGCACAAUGGGCGCAAGCCUGAUGCAGCCAUGCCGCGUGUGUGAAGAAGGCCUUCGGGUUGUAAAGCACUUUCAGUCGUGAGGAAGGUAGUGUAGUUAAUAGCUGCAUUAUUUGACGUUAGCGACAGAAGAAGCACCGGCUAACUCCGUGCCAGCAGCCGCGGUAAUACGGAGGGUGCGAGCGUUAAUCGGAAUUACUGGGCGUAAAGCGCAUGCAGGUGGUUUGUUAAGUCAGAUGUGAAAGCCCGGGGCUCAACCUCGGAAUAGCAUUUGAAACUGGCAGACUAGAGUACUGUAGAGGGGGUAGAAUUUCAGGUGUAGCGGUGAAAUGCGUAGAGAUCUGAAGGAAUACCGGUGGCGAAGGCGGCCCCUGGACAGAUACUGACACUCAGAUGCGAAAGCGUGGGAGC